AUUGUCAUUUUGGUACUUGUAAGGAUUAUUCUCACAUGCAUCCCAAGUUAGUUGUCUUUCCUUACUCAUAUCUUCUUUUCCAUAGAGCAAAUUGGCCAAGAGAUGUUGGAAAACCUCAGUCACGACAGAGAAAAGAUACAGCGAGCACGCGAAAGACUUCGGGAAACAGAUGCAAACUUGGGGAAAAGCUCAAGGAUUCUGACAGGGAUGUUACGAAGGGAGCUCCAGUUUCUUACUGCAUGUAGAAAAGAGACAAGCUGAGGAGAGUGAAGAAAAAGGAGUACAUAUAGCAGCCCAUACCUCCUCAGUUGCAGUAUCCUGUCUUAAGAGAAACUGUAUUAAUUUUUGCUUGUCACAAAUCUUGUACUUUUUUUUAUCUGAUUGAAGACUUUGGGGGAGGUGAAUGACUUCUGGCAUUUUUUAACUCAGUUCAUUUUUUGUAGUAAUAGAAACCCCUUCCAAACUCUGGCAACUUAUGAUGUAAGUUUUGGGGGUAUACAUUUUCAUCAUCUUCUAUUUUUUCAUUUGAAUGUAAUAGGCACUUUGAUAAAUGCAGCAUCAAGAGUCAUGUAUCAGUCAUCAUUUUAAACUGGAGACCAUGGGUGACCUUUAAAAUUGCCCUCCAUAAGCAGGGCAUGCAUACAAACAAUUUCUGUAGCUCAACCUUUGGGCCAGUAUGCCUGGGUGGUCUUGUUCUAACUGUUGCUAUUUAAUUAUUGACGAUUUGCUGACACUAGGCAUGGAAGCCUUAGGGAAAAUGAAAUCCCACAUGUCAGUUUCUUUAGAUGAAUCUUCUUUGAGGUUUAAGUAUCUCUCCAAGUAAUAUAGUUAGGCAGGUUUAAGGGCCAUUCAAAUUCUGCCUGGCAAAGUCAGCCACAAUAUCUGUAUUCACUGAUGGAAUCUACUGGUACAUCUUUUUUUUUAUUAUUCAUAUGUGCAUACAAUGCUUGGGUCAUUUCUCCCCCCUGCC
rnacentral:lncRNA from 1 species